rnacentral:rRNA from 1 species
GAUUGAACGCUGGCGGCAUGCCUUACACAUGCAAGUCGAACGGCAGCACGGGAGUAAUCCUGGUGGCGAGUGGCGAACGGGGUGAGUAAUACAUCGGGACGUGCCCAGUAGUGGGGGAUAGCCCGGCGAAAGCCGGAUUAAUACCGCAUACGACCUACGGGUGAAAGCGGGGAUCGCAAGACCUCGCGCUAUCGGAGCGGCCGAUGUCAGAUUAGGUUGUUGGUGGGGAAAGGCCUACCAAGCCGACGAUCUGUAGCUGGUCUGAGAGGACGACCAGCCACACUGGGACUGAGACACGGCCCAGACUCCUACGGGAGGCAGCAGUGGGGAAUUUUGGACAAUGGGGGCAACCCUGAUCCAGCCAUGCCGCGUGCGGGAAGAAGGCCU